rnacentral:rRNA from 1 species
UCGAACGGAUUUUUGUCGUAGCUUGCUAUGAUAAAAAUUAGUGGCAGACGGGUGAGUAAUGCAUAGGAAUCUACCUAGUAGUAUGGGAUAGCCACUAGAAAUGGUGGGUAAUACUGUAUAAUCCCUGCGGGGGAAAGAUUUAUCGCUAUUAGAUGAGCCUAUGUUAGAUUAGCUAGUUGGUAGGGUAAAGGCCUACCAAGGCGGUGAUCUAUAGCUGGUCUGAGAGGAUGAUCAGCCACACUGGAACUGAGAUACGGUCCAGACUCCUACGGGAGGCAGCAGUGGGGAAUAUUGGACAAUGGGCGCAAGCCUGAUCCAGCUAUGCCGCGUGAGUGAGGAAGGCCUUAGGGUUGUAAAACUCUUUCAGUGGGGAAGAUAAUGACGGUACCCACAGAAGAAGUCCCGGCAAACUCC